AAAGCAGGGGAUCGUAAGACCUUGCGCUUUUGGAGCGGCCGAUGUCUGAUUAGCUAGUUGGUGGGGUAAUGGCCUACCAAGGCUUCGAUCAGUAGCUGGUCUGAGAGGACGGCCAGCCACACUGGGACUGAGACACGGCCCAGACUCCUACGGGAGGCAGCAGUGGGGAAUUUUGGACAAUGGGCGCAAGCCUGAUCCAGCCAUGCCGCGUGAGUGAAGAAGGCCUUCGGGUUGUAAAGCUCUUUCAGCCGGGAAGAAAAGGUUGCGAUUAAUAAUCGCAAUUCAUGACGGUACCGAAAGAAGAAGCACCGGCUAACUACGUGCCAGCAGCCGCGGUAAUACGUAGGGUGCGAGCGUUAAUCGGAAUUACUGGGCGUAAAGGGUGCGCAGGCGGUUUUGUAAGUCAGAUGUGAAAUCCCCGGGCUUAACCUGGGAACUGCGUUUGAAACUACAAGGCUAGA
rnacentral:rRNA from 1 species